AGAACGAACGCUGGCGGCAUGCCUAAUACAUGCAAGUCGAACGAACUCUUCGGAGUUAGUGGCGCACGGGUGCGUAACGCGUGGGAAUCUGCCCUUGGGUUCGGAAUAACAGUUGGAAACGACUGCUAAUACCGGAUGAUGACGAAAGUCCAAAGAUUUAUCGCCCAGGGAUGAGCCCGCGUAGGAUUAGCUAGUUGGUGAGGUAAAGGCUCACCAAGGCGACGAUCCUUAGCUGGUCUGAGAGGAUGAUCAGCCACACUGGGACUGAGACACGGCCCAGACUCCUACGGGAGGCAGCAGUAGGGAAUAUUGGACAAUGGGCGAAAGCCUGAUCCAGCAAUGCCGCGUGAGUGAUGAAGGCUUAGGGUUGUAAAGCUCUUUACCGAGAUGAUAAUGACAGUAUCGGAAGAAUAAGCCCCGGCUAACUCCGUGCCAGCAGCCGC
rnacentral:rRNA from 1 species